CCGGGAGGUGCUCACACUGCAGUUGGGACAUUUUGCCGGUUUUGUGGGCGCGCACUGGUGGAACCAGCAGGAUGCUGCGCUGGGCCAAGCGACCGAUUCCAAGGAGCCCCUGGGAGAGCUGUGCCCCGACGUCCUGUAUCGUACGGGCCGAACGCUGCACGGCCAGGAGACCUACACGCCGCGACUCAUCCUCAUGGAUCUGAAGGGUAGUUUGAGCUCCCUAAAAGAGGAAGGUGGACUCUACAGGGACAAACAGUUGGAUGCUGCAAUAGCAUGGCAGGGGAAGCUCACCACACACAAAGAGGAACUCUAUCCCAAGAACCCUUAUCUCCAGGACUUUCUGAGUGCAGAGAGGCCAGCAUCAGGGUCUGGUCAGACUUCCUCAGAGUCCAUCUCCAUCCCCGGAGCAUCUGUAUGAUUCAGAAGUACAACCACGAUGGGACAAGAGGCUGAGGAGUUGAGGGAAGAGAUGUAAGUCUUGGAUCGUGUUUACUUGUGGCAGGGAAGCAGGUCGGCUGGAGGCUUUUGGCCAAGGGGAAAGUGUCCUAAAGGAACCCAAGUACCAGGAAGAGCUGGAGGACAGGCUGCACUUCUACGUGGAGGAAUGUGACUACUUGCAGGGCUUCCAGAUCCUGUGUGACCUGCACGAUGGCUUCUCUGGGGUAGGCGCAAAGGCGGCAGAGCUGCUACAAGAUGAAUAUUCAGGGCGGGGAAUAAUAACGUGGGGCCUGCUACCUGGUCCCUACCAUCGUGGGGUGAGUGGAACUUAGAGAAGUAAACA
rnacentral:sRNA from 1 species